rnacentral:rRNA from 1 species
UAUUGGGCGUAAGAGCUCGUAGGCGGUUUGUCGCGUCUGCCGUGAAAGUCCGGGGCUCACUCCGGAUCUGCGGUGGGUACGGGCAGACUAGAGUGAUGUAGGGGAGACUGAAAUUCCUGGUGUAGCGGUGAAAUGCGCAGAUAUCAGGAGGAACACCGAUGGCGAAGGCAGGUCUCUGGGCAUUAACUGACGCUGAGGAGCGAAAGCAUGGGGAGCGAACAGGAUUAGAUACCCUGGUAGUCCAUGCCGUAAACGUUGGGCACUAGGUGUGGGGGACAUUCCACGUUUUCCGCGCCGUAGCUAACGCAUUAAGUGCCCCGCCUGGGGAGUACGGCCGCAAGGCUAAAACUCAAAGGAAUUGACGGGGGCCCGCACAAGCGGCGGAGCAUGCGGAUUAAUUCGAUGCAACGCGAAGAACCUUACCAAGGCUUGACAUGAACCGGAAACGCCUGGAAACAGGUGCCCCACUUGUGGUCGGUUUACAGGUGGUGCAUGGUUGUCGUCAGCUCGUGUCGUGAGAUGUUGGGUUAAGUCCCGCAACGAGCGCAACCCUCGUUCUAUGUUGCCAGCACGUGAUGGUGGGGACUCAUAGGAGACUGCCGGGGUCAACUCGGAGGAAGGUGGGGACGACGUCAAAUCAUCAUGCCCCUUAUGUCUUGGGCUUCACGCAUGCUACAAUGGCCGGUACAAAGGGUUGCGAUACUGUGAGGUGGAGCUAAUCCCAAAAAGCCGGUCUCAGUUCGGAUUGGGGUCUGCAACUCGACCCCAUGAAGUCGGAGUCGCUAGUAAUCGCAGAUCAGCAACGCUGCGGUGAAUACGUUCCCGGGCCUUGUACACACCGCCCGUCAAGUCACGAAAGUUGGUAACACCCGAAGCCGGUGGCCUAACCCCUUGUGGGGGGGAGCCGUCGAAGUGGGACU